rnacentral:rRNA from 1 species
GACGUAGGGCGCGAGCGUUAUCCGGAAUUAUUGGGCGUAAAGCGUCCGCAGGUGGCUGUUCAAGUCUGCUGUCAAAGCGCAGAGCUUAACUCUGUACAGGCGUGGAAACUGAAGAGCUAGAGUAUGGUAGGGUAGAGGAAUUCCGGUGUAGCGGUGAAUGCGUAGAUAUUGGAAGACCACCAAUGGCGAAGGCACUCUACUGGCCACAACUGACACUGAGAGACGAAGCUAGGGAGCAAUGG